GACAAUGGGGGCAACCCUGAUCCAGCCAUGCCGCGUGAGUGAAGAAGGCCUUCGGGUUGUAAAGCUCUUUCAGCGGGAAGAAAUCACAUGGGUUAAUACCCUGUGUGGAUGACGGUACCGGAAUAAGAAGCACCGGCUAACUACGUGCCAGCAGCCGCGGUAAUACGUAGGGUGCGAGCGUUAAUCGGAAUUACUGGGCGUAAAGCGUGCCAGGCGGUUUGUUAAGAUAGGCGUGAAAUCCCCGGGCUAACCUGGGAACUGCGUUUAUGACUGGCAGGCUAGAGUAUGGCAGAGGGGGGUGGAAUUCCACGUGUAGCAGUGAGAUGCGUAGAGAUGUGGAGGAACACCGAUGGCGAAGGCAGCCCCCUGGGCCAAUACUGACGCUCAUGCACGAAAGCGUGGGUAGCAAACAGGAUUAGAUACCCUGGUAGUCCACGCCCUAAACGAUGUCAACUAGGUGUUGGGUGGGUAAAACCAUUUAGUACCGGAGCUAACGCGUGAAGUUGACCGCCUGGGGAGUACGGCCGCAAGGUUAAAACUCAAAGGAAUUGAGGGGACCCGCACAAGCGGUGGAUGAUGUGGAUUAAUUCGAUGCAACGCGAAAAACCUUACCUACCCUUGACAUGUCCAGAAGCUCUUAGAGAUUUGAGUGUGCCCGAAAGGGAACUGGAACACAGGUGCUGCAUGGCUGUCGUCAGCUCGUGUCGUGAGAUGUUGGGUUAAGUCCCGCAACGAGCGCAACCCUUGUCGUUAAUUGCAUCAUUUAGUUGGGCACUUAACGAGACUGCCGGUGACAAACCGAGGAAGGUGGGGAUGACGUCAAGUCCUCAUGGCCCUUAUGGUAGGGCUUCACACGUCAUACAAUGGUCGGUACAAAGGGUUGCCAACCCGCGAGGGGGGCUAAUCCCAGAAAGCCGAUCGUAGUCCGGAUCGUAGGCUGCAACUCGCCUGCGUGAAGUCGGAAUCGC
rnacentral:rRNA from 1 species